rnacentral:lncRNA from 1 species
UGAACGCACGGACCUCGCGGACCCGACCGGAGCAGGGAUGCCCUAGGAGUGAUGCUGUCUCCUCAUCAGAUCCGGGACCCUGGGCUCGGCUUGUCCCACCAUACACCACAUCAGCCUCACUCACAUGGCUCUUCAGGCCCUGGCCUGGACCCUUCUCCCAGAGGCACAUGCCCAGGACCCAGCAAUGGCCAAUGGGACCCUGAUGGCCGAGGGCCAGGAAUCAGUGACUUUCAAGGAUGUGGCCGUGGACUUCACCCUGGAGGAGUGGGGCUGGCUGGAGCCUGACCAGAGGGAGCUGUAUCGAGACGUGAUGCUAGAGAACUACCGGAACCUUCUCUCCCUGGGUGAGACCCCUCCUCCUGCCCUCCCCCUGGGGGAGGCCUGAUGCCCCCUGGAUCCCUCUCUGAUGCCCCCAGCACUCUCUCUGAUGCCCCCUGGCACCCCCUUCUCAUUCACGUCCAUCCCCUGCCAUCUGGGGGCCUCUGUGCUCCUCUCGCUGGUCCCUCGUGCCUGGCCUCUCUGUUCCUCUCUUUCUGCCAGCUGAUCCUGGAGUCCCAGCAGCUAGGAAGGCCCAAGUCUCUUGGCCUGUCCUGUAAAAUGUGGAUCCCACACACUCUUCAGCCUGUGCCCCCAGCUUCUUUUUUUUUUUUUUGAGACGGAGUCUCACUCUGUCACCUAGGCAGAAGGGCAGUAGCGUGAUCUCAGCUCACUGCAACCUCCUCCUCCUGAGUUCAAGCAAUUCUCCUGUCUCAGCCUCCCGAGUCGUGGGAUUACAGGCACGCACCACCAUGCCGGCUA